GAUGAACGCUGGCGGUGUGCCUAACACAUGCAAGUCGAGCGAACGCAUGAGAUUCGCUUGCUACUGCUGAUAGCGGCGGACGGACGGGUAAGUCAUGGAUAACCUACUUACAUGACUGGGAUAACUACCGGAAACCGAAGCUGACAAAUGCUACUAUCAUUAACUGCAUGGUUCAAAAGUGAAAGGCGAUGUUGUUCUCUGUUAUAUAUGCAUCCGUGCUGCUUUAGAUAGUUGGUAGGGUAACGUCUCACCAAGGCAACGAUGCAUAGCCGAUCGGAGCGGAUGAGCGGCCACACUGGACCUGAGACGCGGUCCAGACUCCUACGGGAGGCAGCAGAGGGGAAUCUUCCACAAUGGGCUGAAGCCUGACGGGACAAAGCCGCGUGAGUUAAGAGAGUAUUCGGAUAGUAAAACUCUGUUAUUAGGGAAGAACAUAUGUGUAAGUAACUGUGCACAUCUUGACGGUACCGAAUCAGAAAGCCACGGCUAACUACGUG
rnacentral:rRNA from 1 species